rnacentral:rRNA from 1 species
AUUGAACGCUGGCGGCAGGCUUAACACAUGCGAGUCGAGCGGUAACAGAGGGAAGCUUGCUUCUCUGCUGACGAGCGGCGGACGGGUGAGUAAUGCCUAGGAAUCUGCCUAGUAGUGGGGGAUAACUUGCCGAAAGGUAAGCUAAUACCGCAUACGUCCUACGGGAGAAAGGAGGGGACCUUCGGGCCUUUCGCUAUUAGAUGAGCCUAGGUCGGAUUAGUUAGUUGGUGAGGUAAUGGCUCACCAAGACCGCGAUCCGUAACUGGUCUGGGAGGAUGAUCAGUAACACUGGAACUGGGACACGGUCCAGACUCCUACGGGGGGCAGCAGUGGGGAAAAUUGGACAAUGGGGGGAACCCUGAUCCAGCCAUGCCGCGUGUGUGAAGAAGGUCUUAGGAUUGUAAAGCACUUUAAGUUGGGAGGAAGAGCAGUUAACUAAUAUUUGACUGUUUUGACGUUACCGACAGAAUAAGCACCGGCUAACUUCGUGCCAGCAGCCGCAGUAA